UACAGAGGGUGCGAGCGUUGUUCGGAAUUAUUGGGCGUAAAGAGCUCGUAGGCGGCUUGUCACGUCGAUUGUGAAAGCCCGAGGCUUAACCUCGGGUCUGCAGUCGAUACGGGCUAGCUAGAGUGUGGUAGGGGAGAUCGGAAUUCCUGGUGUAGCGGUGAAAUGCGCAGAUAUCAGGAGGAACACCGGUGGCGAAGGCGGAUCUCUGGGCCGUUACUGACGCUGAGGCGCGAAAGCCAGGGGAGCGAACGGG
rnacentral:rRNA from 1 species